GACGAACGCUGGCGGCGUGCUUAACACAUGCAAGUCGAACGGAAAGGCCCUGCUUUUGUGGGGUGCUCGAGUGGCGAACGGGUGAGUAACACGUGAGUAACCUGCCCUUGACUUUGGGAUAACUUCAGGAAACUGGGGCUAAUACCGGAUAGGAGCUCCUGCUGCAUGGUGGGGGUUGGAAAGUUUCGGCGGUUGGGGAUGGACUCGCGGCUUAUCAGCUUGUUGGUGGGGUAGUGGCUUACCAAGGCUUUGACGGGUAGCAGGCCUGAGAGGGUGACCGGCCACAUUGGGACUGAGAUACGGCCCAGACUCCUACGGGAGGCAGCAGUGGGGAAUAUUGCACAAUGGGCGGAAGCCUGAUGCAGCAACGCCGCGUGCGGGAUGACGGCCUUCGGGUUGUAAACCGCUUUCGCCUGUGACGAAGCGUGAGUGACGGUAAUGGGUAAAGAAGCACCGGCUAACUACGUGCCAGCAGCCGCGGUGAUACGUAGGGUGCGAGCGUUGUCCGGAUUUAUUGGGCGUAAAGGGCUCGUAGGUGGUUGAUCGCGUCGGAAGUGUAAUCUUGGGGCUUAACCCUGAGCGUGCUUUCGAUACGGGUUGACUUGAGGAAGGUAGGGGAGAAUGGAAUUCCUGGUGGAGCGGUGGAAUGCGCAGAUAUCAGGAGGAACACCAGUGGCGAAGGCGGUUCUCUGGGCCUUUCCUGACGCUGAGGAGCGAAAGCGUGGGGAGCGAACAGGCUUAGAUACCCUGGUAGUCCAUGCUGUAAACGGUGGGUACUAGGUGUGGGGUCCAUUCCACGGGUUCCGUGCCGUAGCUAACGCUUUAAGUACCCCGCCUGGGGAGUACGGCCGCAAGGCUAAAACUCAAAGGAAUUGACGGGGCCCCGCACAAGCGGCGGAGCAUGCGGAUUAAUUCGAUGCAACGCGUAGAACCUUACCUGGGUUUGACAUGGAUCGGGAGUGCUCAGAGAUGGGUGUGCCUCUUUUGGGGUCGGUUCACAGGUGGUGCAUGGCUGUCGUCAGCUCGUGUCGUGAGAUGUUGGGUUAAGUCCCGCAACGAGCGCAACCCUUGUUCACUGUUGCCAGCACGUUAUGGUGGGGACUCAGUGGAGACCGCCGGGGUCAACUCGGAGGAAGGUGGGGAUGACGUCAAGUCAUCAUGCCCCUUAUGUCCAGGGCUUCACGCAUGCUACAAUGGCUGGUACAGAGAGUGGCGAGCCUGUGAGGGUGAGCGAAUCUCGGAAAGCCGGUCUCAGUUCGGAUUGGGGUCUGCAACUCGACCUCAUGAAGUCGGAGUCGCUAGUAAUCGCAGAUCAGCAACGCUGCGGUGAAUACGUUCCCGGG
rnacentral:rRNA from 1 species